rnacentral:misc_RNA from 1 species
CAGUCGGCCCUUCGGGUGUCCGGC